rnacentral:rRNA from 1 species
AGAGCGAACGCUGGCGGCAGGCCUAACACAUGCAAGUCGAGCGCCCAGUAAUGGGAGCGGCAGACGGGAUAGUAACACGUGGGAACGUACCUUUCAGUUCGGAACAACCCAGGGAAACUUGGGCUAAUACCGAAUACGCCCGUAAGGGGAAAGAUUUAUCGCUGAAAGAUCGGCCCGCGUCUGAUUAGCUAGUUGGUGGGGUAAUGGCCCACCAAGGCGACGAUCAGUAGCUGGUCUGAGAGGAUGAUCAGCAUCACUGGGACUGAGACACGGCCCAGACUCCUACGGGAGGCAGCAGUGGGGAAUAUUGGACAAUGGGCGCAAGCCUGAUCCAGCCAUGCCGCGUGGAUGAUGAAGGCCCUAGGGUUGUAAAGUCCUUUCGGCGGGGAAGAUAAUGACGGUACCCGCAGAAGAAGCCCGGCUAACGUUCGUGCCAGCAGCCGC